rnacentral:tRNA from 1 species
GAGAGUGUAGCUCAGUGGUAGAGUGCAUGCUUAGCAUGCACAAGGUCCUGGGUUCAAGCCCCAGUACCUCCA